GAACGCUGGCGGCGUGCUUAACACAUGCAAGUCGAACGGAAAGGCCCUGCUUUUGUGGGGUGCUCGAGUGGCGAACGGGUGAGUAACACGUGAGUAACCUGCCCUUGACUUUGGGAUAACUUCAGGAAACUGGGGCUAAUACCGGAUAGGAGCUCCUGCUGCAUGGUGGGGGUUGGAAAGUUUCGGCGGUUGGGGAUGGACUCGCGGCUUAUCAGCUUGUUGGUGGGGUAGUGGCUUACCAAGGCUUUGACGGGUAGCCGGCCUGAGAGGGUGACCGGCCACAUUGGGACUGAGAUACGGCCCAGACUCCUACGGGAGGCAGCAGUGGGGAAUAUUGCACAAUGGGCGGAAGCCUGAUGCAGCAACGCCGCGUGCGGGAUGACGGCCUUCGGGUUGUAAACCGCUUUCGCCUGUGACGAAGCGUGAGUGACGGUAAUGGGUAAAGAAGCACCGGCUAACUACGUGCCAGCAGCCGCGGUGAUACGUAGGGUGCGAGCGUUGUCCGGAUUUAUUGGGCGUAAAGGGCUCGUAGGUGGUUGAUCGCGUCGGAAGUGUAAUCUUGGGGCUUAACCCUGAGCGUGCUUUCGAUACGGGUUGACUUGAGGAAGGUAGGGGAGAAUGGAAUUCCUGGUGGAGCGGUGGAAUGCGCAGAUAUCAGGAGGAACACCAGUGGCGAAGGCGGUUCUCUGGGCCUUUCCUGACGCUGAGGAGCGAAAGCGUGGGGAGCGAACAGGCUUAGAUACCCUGGUAGUCCACGCUGUAAACGGUGGGUACUAGGUGUGGGGUCCAUUCCACGGGUUCCGUGCCGUAGCUAACGCUUUAAGUACCCCGCCUGGGGAGUACGGCCGCAAGGCUAAAACUCAAAGGAAUUGACGGGGCCCCGCACAAGCGGCGGAGCAUGCGGAUUAAUUCGAUGCAACGCGUAGAACCUUACCUGGGUUUGACAUGGAUCGGGAGUGCUCAGAGAUGGGUGUGCCUCUUUUGGGGUCGGUUCACAGGUGGUGCAUGGCUGUCGUCAGCUCGUGUCGUGAGAUGUUGGGUUAAGUCCCGCAACGAGCGCAACCCUUGUUCACUGUUGCCAGCACGUUAUGGUGGGGACUCAGUGGAGACCGCCGGGGUCAACUCGGAGGAAGGUGGGGAUGACGUCAAGUCAUCAUGCCCCUUAUGUCCAGGGCUUCACGCAUGCUACAAUGGCUGGUACAGAGAGUGGCGAGCCUGUGAGGGUGAGCGAAUCUCGGAAAGCCGGUCUCAGUUCGGAUUGGGGUCUGCAACUCGACCUCAUGAAGUCGGAGUCGCUAGUAAUCGCAGAUCAGCAACGCUGCGGUGAAUACGUUCCCGGGGCUUGUACACACCGCCCGUCAAGUCAUGAAAGUUGGUAACACCCGAAGCCGGUGGCCUAACCGUUGUGGGGGAGCCGUCGAAGGUGGGACUGGUGAUUAGGACUAAG
rnacentral:rRNA from 1 species